rnacentral:sRNA from 1 species
GCCGGGAGUUGUAGUGUGCGCCUAUGGUCCCAGCUACUUGGGAGGCUGAGGCAGGAGACUCACUUGAGCCCAGGAGUUGGAGGUUGCUAUGAGCUGUGAUGUCAUAGCACUCUACCCAGGGCGACAGCUUCAGGCUCUGUCGCAAAAAAGAGACAGAGUCUCACUUUAAUCGCCCUCGGUAGAGUACCAUGACAUCAGAGCUCACAGCAACCUCCAACUCCUGGGCUUAGGUGAUUCUCUUGCCU